GCGUGUGACUGCGUACCUUUUGUAUAAUGGGUCAGCGACUUAUAUUCUGUAGCAAGGUUAACCGAAUAGGGGAGCCGAAGGGAAACCGAGUCUUAACUGGGCGUUAAGUUGCAGGGUAUAGACCCGAAACCCGGUGAUCUAGCCAUGGGCAGGUUGAAGGUUGGGUAACACUAACUGGAGGACCGAACCGACUAAUGUUGAAAAAUUAGCGGAUGACUUGUGGCUGGGGGUGAAAGGCCAAUCAAACCGGGAGAUAGCUGGUUCUCCCCGAAAGCUAUUUAGGUAGCGCCUCGUGAAUUCAUCUCCGGGGGUAGAGCACUGUUUCGGCAAGGGGGUCAUCCCGACUUACCAACCCGAUGCAAACUGCGAAUACCGGAGAAUGUUAUCACGGGAGACACACGGCGGGUGCUAACGUCCGUCGUGAAGAGGGAAACAACCCAGACCGCCAGCUAAGGUCCCAAAGUCAUGGUUAAGUGGGAAACGAUGUGGGAAGGCCCAGACAGCCAGGAUGUUGGCUUAGAAGCAGCCAUCAUUUAAAGAAAGCGUAAUAGCUCACUGGUCGAGUCGGCCUGCGCGGAAGAUGUAACGGGGCUAAACCAUGCACCGAAGCUGCGGCAGCGACGCUUA
rnacentral:rRNA from 1 species